rnacentral:ncRNA from 15 species
UUUAAUGAUGACAAGAUCGCUGUGCACCAGUCUGAGUACUCAACUGCAUGACAGACCCAGUAUAUACCCAAAUUUCUGAUC